rnacentral:piRNA from 1 species
UGACAGAUGGAUCACCUGGUGCG